ACCUAUUAAAUAAUUUAAUUAGGCAGCACAAUAGCAAACCUACACCUAUACCUAUCAACACUAUUCCUAGCCCCAGAAAGAUCUCGUUUUCAUCUGAAGUGUUGACGUUAUCAUCAUCAUAGUGCGAAGACAUCUAUAAAGAACGUAAGAAAAAAAAAUUCGUAAGUUUAUAUGCAGUACUAAUACUUGGUGCCCUAGAAAAACAAUGAAAUUUGGAGCACAGUAGAUAAAUAUUAAAUAUAUUUUAAUAAAUCUAAUUAAAUAAUAGCUUUUUGAGAAAGUUGCAUUAAUUUUAGAAAAUUUAUAUUAUUUUAAGAAGUAUUUAUUAAAGUUCAAUACAUAAAUCAGAAAUAAAUUUGAAGUUCAAUACAUAAAUUGGAAAUUAUUUUUCUAUCUUAUACAUUUGUUUCUGAAUUUAUUUGUUACUCUUUUUUCUCUUAUAAAAAAUUCUUUCAAAUCUAUUGAUUUAGAUAAUAUUCAAAGUGAAUCGAUGUAAAACUUGUUUUAUAAAAUUAGCUAGAUAGUAUAACAAUCUAAUAUGUAUUGUUCCUAUUUAAAAAUAUACAUACUUUUUAAAAAAUUAAAUAAACUAUAUCAUGCAAACUGAUUAGAUUUUUAACAAAUAUUAUUGCUAGUUCUUAGAAUAUGACUGUUUUUAUUUUUGUUUAAUUUAUUUUAAAGAAGAUUUUUUACAUUGGUUUUAUUCAAUAUAUAUAUAUAUAUAUAUAUGUGUGUGUGUGUAUAUUUAAUUUAUUAUUCACUUUACAAAUUUUGACCAUAUUUUUAUUAUUAAUCAAUUUUAUUAGGUAAUCUUAAUUUAUUUUAAUAAUAUAUAUUUUAUUUAGAAGAUAUAUUGUGUACCACAAUUUUGGAUCAAGUAACAUUUUGAAUCGCUUUUUCAAAUAGAAAGUUUGAACGUUAAAAUAUAUAUAUACAUGCUAUAUGUUUAAUUACUGUAAACAUACAACGUACACUAUGGGUGGAGGUUGAUGUCGUAGAUUGAUAUUCAAAGUGAAUCGAUGUCGUAGAUUGCUUCGAUAGUGUUCCGUACCGUGGUGCGUGAGAAAAGGGCCACCCGUGAGAUAAUGUAGACUUAAAUUUCUUUAGGGGACUUCCCAGGUGAGAGAGACUGUGGUGGAACCAAGUUGAUUUCUGCAGAAGUGUUUCUG
rnacentral:lncRNA from 1 species